CACGUAGGGUCCGAGCGUUGUCCGGAAUUACUGGGCGUAAAGCGCGCGCAGGCGGCCCGACACAUCGGCGGUGAAAGCCCCCCGCUUAACGGGGGAGGGUCCGUCGUGAUGGUCGGGCUGGAGGCAGGGAGAGGGCGGUGGAAUUCCGGGUGUAGUGGUGAAAUGCGUAGAGAUCCGGAGGAACACCAGUGGCGAAGGCGGCGAUCUGGCCCAACAUUGACACUGAGACCCAAAAGCGUGGGGAUCAAACAGG
rnacentral:rRNA from 1 species